CCUAGUUAAUUCUACUAGUAGUUAUAUACUUGUCUUAAAGAUUAAGCUAUAUAUAUCUAAGUAUAAGCAAUUAUACUGUGAAACUGCGAAUAGCUUAUUAAAUUAGUUAUUGUUUAUUUAAUAGUACCUUACUACUUAGAUAACUAUAGUAAUUCUAGAGCUAAUACAUGCUAAAACCCUAACUUUAGAAGGUAUUUAUUAGAUAAAACUAACGCCCUUUAGGGCUCGUAAAUUUAUAAUAACUUUAUAGAUUGUAUAGCCUUACGCUAGCGAUAGUUUAUUUAAAUUUCUGCCCUAUUAACUUUUAAUAGUAAGGUAUUAGCUUACUAUAGUUUUAACGGGUAAUGGGGAAUUAGGGUUUAAUUCUAGAGAGGGAGCAUAAGAAAUAGCUACUAUAUCUAAGGAAGGUAGCAGGCGCGUAAAUUACCUAAUCCUAAUAGGAGGUAGUGAUAAUAAAUACUAAUAUAGGGCUCUUUUAGGUCUUGUAAUUGAAAUAAGUAUAAUUUAAACCUCUUAAUAAGGAAUAAUUAGAGGCAGCUAUAGUGCUAGCAGCUGUAGUAAUUCUGCUCUAAUAGCGUAUAUUAAAGUUGUUGCAGUUAAAAGCUUGUAGUUAAAACUUAGGUCGCUAGCAGGUCUGCCUUACCGCGUGUACUUGUCGCUAGGCCUUCCUUCUAGAGAACCUUAUGCCCUUUACUAGGCGUGUUAGGGACUAGGACUUACUUUAAAAAUUAGAGUGUUUAAAGUAGGCCUUUGCUUAAAUACGUUAGCAUAGAUAGAAUAGGACGUGCGGUCCUAUUUUUUAGUUUCUAGGACCGCUGUAAUAAUUAAUAGGGAUAGUUAGGGGCAUUAGUAUUUAAUUGUUAGAGGUAAAAUUCUUAGAUUUAUUAAAGACUAACUACUACAAAAGCAUUUACUAAGGAUGUUUUAUUAAUUAGUGAAUAAAAGUUAGGGAUUAAAGAUAAUUAGAUACUGUUGUAGUCUUAACUGUAAACUAUGCUAACUAGGGAUAGGCGAUGUUCUUUUCUAACUUGCUUGGCACCUUACAAGAAAUUAAAGUUUUAGGUUCUAGGGGAGUAUAGUUGUAAGGCUAAAACUUAAAGAAAUUAAUAGAAGGGCACUACUAGGCGUAGAGCCUGUAGCUUAAUUUAACUUAAUAUAGGGAAACUUACUAGGUCUAGAUAAAAUAAGGAUUAAUAGAUUAAGAGCUCUUUCUUGAUUUUUUAGGUGGUGGUGCAUAGCUAUUCUUAGUUAGUAGAGUAAUUUGUCUACUUAAUUACGAUAAUAAACAAGACCUUAACCUGCUAAAUAGCUAGGCUAGCUUUAGCUAGUUACUAGCUUCUUAGAGGGACUAUUAGCUUAAGCUAAUAGAGGUUUAAGGCAAUAAUAGGUCUAUAAUGCCCUUAGAUGUUCUAGGCUGCACGCGCGCUACACUAACAGAGCUAACAAGUUCUUUACCUUAACUAAAAGGUCUAGGUAAUCUUAUUAAACUCUGUCGUGCUAGGGAUAGAGUAUUACAAUUAUUACUCUUUAAUAAGGAAUACCUAGUAAGUGCGUGUUAUUAGCAUACGUUAAUUACGUCCCUGCCCUUUGUACACACUACCUAUUGCUACUACUAAUUAAAUAGCUUAGUAAGGCCUUUAGACUAGCUUAGGGAGGUUAGUAAUAACUACCCUAAGCUAGAAAGUUUGUUAAACUUGGUUAUUUAGAGGAAUAAAAGUCGUAAUAAGGUUUUUGUAGGUAAACCUGCAGAAG
rnacentral:rRNA from 1 species